rnacentral:rRNA from 1 species
CAGCAGCCGCGGGAAUACGUAGGUGGCAAGCGUUGUCCGGAAUUAUUGGGCGUAAAAGGCUCGCAGGCGGUUUCUUAAGUCUGAUGUGAAAGCCCCCGGCUCAACCGGGGAGGGUCAUUGGAAACUGGGAAACUUGAGUGCAGAAGAGGAGAGUGGAAUUCCACGUGUAGCGGUGAAAUGCGUAGAGAUGUGGAGGAACACCAGUGGCGAAGGCGACUCUCUGGUCUGCAACUGACGCUGAGGAGCGAAAGCGUGGGGAGCGAACAGGAUUAGAUACCCCUGUAGUCCCUGUCUCUUAUAC